UUUUUAACGGCCGCGGUACUCUGACCGUGCAAAGGUAGCAUAAUCAUUUGCCUUAUAAUUGAAGGCUGGUAUGAAUGGUUUGACAAGAAUAUAGCUGUCUCUUUAUAAUUUGAUAGAAUUUUAUUUUUAGGUGAAAAAGCCUUGAUUGAAUUAAAAGACAAGAAGACCCUAUCGAGCUUUAAAGGAGUUGAUGGAUGUAAGUUUUUUGUUUUAAAAAAGUAUGACUGUCGAAUAUUUUGGUUGGGGCGACUGAGGAACAUAUAAAGCUUCCUUUAGUAGAAAUAUUUACGUACAUGUAUUUGAUCCUUAGUUAGCGAUUAAAGAAAUUAGUUACCGUAGGGAUAACAGCAUUAUCCUUUUUGAGAGUUCUAAUCGAAAAAAGGGUUUGUGACCUCGAUGUUGGACCAGAAUGUCCUAAAGGUGCAGAAGUCUUUAAGGGUUGGUCUGUUCGACCAUUAAAAUUCUA
rnacentral:rRNA from 1 species